rnacentral:rRNA from 1 species
UCGUCACACUAUCAUUAACUGAAUCCAUAGGUUAAUGAGGCGAACCGGGGGAACUGAAACAUCUAAGUACCCCGAGGAAAAGAAAUCAACCGAGAUUCCCCCAGUAGCGGCGAGCGAACGGGGAGGAGCCCAGAGCCUGAAUCAGCAUGUGUGUUAGUGGAAGCGUCUGGAAAGGCGCGCGAUACAGGGUGACAGCCCCGUACACAAAAGCGCAUAUGCUGUGAGCUCGAUGAGUAGGGCGGGACACGUGGUAUCCUGUCUGAAUAUGGGGGGACCAUCCUCCAAGGCUAAAUACUCCUGACUGACCGAUAGUGAACCAGUACCGUGAGGGAAAGGCGAAAAGAACCCCGGCGAGGGGAGUGAAAAAGAACCUGAAACCGUGUACGUACAAGCAGUGGGAGC